UACGGAAGGCAGCAGUGGGGAAUAUUGCACAAUGGGCGAAAGCCUGAUGCAGCUAUGCCGCGUGUAUGAAGAAGGCCUUAGGGUUGUAAAGUACUUUCAUCGGGGAGGAAAAACAAAACUAAUAAUUUUAUUUCUUGACGUUACCCGAAAAAGAAGCACCGGCUAACUCCGUGCCAGCAGCCGCGGUAAUACGGAGGGUGCUAGCGUUAAUCAGAAUUACUGGGCGUAAAGGGCACGCAGGCGGUUAAUUAAGUUGGAUGUGAAAUCCCCGGGCUUAACCUGGGAAUGGCAUUCAAGACUGGUUAGCUAGAGUCUUGUAGAGGGGGUAGAAUUCCAUGUGUAGCGGUGAAAUGCGUAGAGAUGUGGAGGAUACCGGUGGCGAAGGCGGCCCCUGGACAAGACUGACGCUCAUGUGCGAAAGCGUGGGGAGCAAACAGGGAUUAGAUACC
rnacentral:rRNA from 1 species